rnacentral:lncRNA from 1 species
CCCUGGUCGCCGCCCGCCUGCUCCCCUCCGACGAGACCCAGAGAAUGGAGUCGCAGGGAUCCGUUACCCCUCCCCCGCUCCAUCCGCCCGGCAUUGACAUGGCGCCCAGGCCAAUGGCCGCCCCUCCCGCGACGCCCGCACCCGAGCCAGCGGUGGCGGUGCUGCCAGCGGCAUCCACAGCAGCGCGGAGGAGGUGCCAAAGCCUGGGGCUUGGGUGUGGCAGGGUCGGCACCCCCGGUAGUCCCCUGGCUCGAUCUUGGCG